GGGGAAUAUUGCACAAUGGGCGAAAGCCUGAUGCAGCAACGCCGCGUGAGUGAUGAAGGCCUUCGGGUUGUAAAGCUCUGUCUUCUGGGACGAUAAUGACGGUACCAGAGGAGGAAGCCACGGCUAACUACGUGCCAGCAGCCGCGGUAAUACGUAGGUGGCAAGCGUUGUCCGGAUUUACUGGGCGUAAAGGAUGCGUAGGCGGAUACUUAAGUCAGAUGUGAAAAUCCCGGGCUUAACUUGGGAACUGCAUUUGAAACUGGGUAUCUAGAGUGCAGGAGAGGAAAGUGGAAUUCCUAGUGUAGCGGUGAAAUGCGUAGAGAUUAGGAAGAACACCAGUGGCGAAGGCGACUUUCUGGACCGUAACUGACGCUGAGGCAUGAAAGCGUGGGGAGCAAACA
rnacentral:rRNA from 1 species